AUUGAACGCUGGCGGCAGGCCUAACACAUGCAAGUCGACCGAGUGGCGGACGCGUGAGUAAUGUCUGGGAAACUGCCCGAUGUAGGGGGAUAACUACUGGCAACGGUAGCUCAUACCGCAUACCAUCGGAUGUGCCCCGAUGUGGUUAGCUAGUAGGUGGGGUAACGGCUCACCUGGGCGACGAUCCCUAGCUGGUCUGAGAGGAUGACCAGCCACACUGGAACUGAGACACGGUCCAGACGCCUACGGUAGGCAGCAGUGGGGAAUAUUGCACAAUGGGCGCAAGCCUGAUGCAGCCAUGCCGCGUGGAUGAAGAAGGCAUUCGGGUUGUAAAGUACUUUCAGCGAGGAGGCGUUACGCGCAGAAGAAGCACCGGCUAACUCCGUGCCAGCCGCCGCGGUAAUAC
rnacentral:rRNA from 1 species